ACUUGAGCAAAACUUUCCAAUUCCCCCCUUGUACCUUUAAUUGACAUAGACCCCA
rnacentral:tRNA from 1 species